AGGUUGGUGCAAAAGUGAUUGCAGUGUUUACCAUUGACAGUAACGACAAAAACUGCAAUGAUUUUUACACCA
rnacentral:miRNA from 1 species